rnacentral:rRNA from 1 species
UUGAAAGGGAAACGAUUGAAGUCAGUCGUGCUGGCGCGAAAUCAGCUCGACCACUCGGGGAUCACGAGCCGCAGCGAGCCUCAAAACCGCUACGACUCGUGAUUUCUUGGUGGCCUGGUGCACUUUCGUGUCGGCUGGUUAACAUCAAUUUCGAUCGUCAUAAAAAGGCUGGAGGGAUGUGGCUCCUUCGGGAGUGUUAUAACCUUUAGCGGAAUGUGGUGGUCGGGAUUGAGGCUUGCAACGAAUACCUUCAGGGCUGUUCCACCUGGCCUCUCAUCGGAAUUCUGGCGGCGACAGCUUGCUGACGUUGUUAGGAUCGGCCUUCGAACAGGCUAGAGUGUGAGCAAAUUCGUUAAGGAUGUUGACGUA